GGUCCUCCACACCAUGUGACCUGUGACGUAUAUAGAGAAAAAAUACUUUUACUUCCGGUUUUAUUGAGAAAAUACAUGAACGAAUCGUCCUACCACCGUUUGUAAACAAUGAACACAUGGCAUGAUGAUCACAGAGUGACCGAUGAAAAGGAUUGCGGUAUUUUUCUAAUGAAAGAACAACAGGCGUCUUAGAUUAUGUUAAUAAAGAUAAUAAUUCCUAGACAACAGUUCAGUGGCCAGUAUAUUACUAAAUAUAGUAUGGUGACGUAAGCGGAGACUUGCCAAAGUUUUUGAGUCCCGAGCAACAGGAAAGAUAA